GUGUUCAGUCCGCCAUUGCAAACACGAAGCUCUUCCAGAAACGCCCUCACAGACACCCCGGAAGUCACGUACCCACUCUGUAGGUGCCCCGGGGCACAGGCAAGCGGACGAGCCAGUUAUCCCUCAGAGCUCCUGCUGCCUCGCCCGCUUUCUCUCGGAAACGUGAAGUGUGGCCUCAGCUGAAAGUGAGGUGGGCCUCAUUCAAUCAGUUGAAUUCUUCAAGAGAGAAAAACUGAAGUCCCUUAGAAGGAAAGAGUUCUGCCUUCAGACUGUCUUUGAACUUAAGACUGUAGCGUCGACUCCUGCCGGAAUUUCCAGCCUGCUGGCCAGCUCUGCAGAUUCACACUUGCCAGCCUCCACAAUCGCAGCUGAGGCGGAGGAACCCUAAGGGCUCAUUGAGAUCAUGGAUUUGCCCUUCUAUGCAUUGAUGGAGCACCUGCUGCCCACAGCGUCUGUAUUUGGUGCUGGGAUGCUGAGGACACUGAGAUCUUCAAACAGAGGCUGCCACUCUAAGCAAACAGAUCCCGAGCCCUGGACUCUGAAGCUUGGGCCCAGUUCUCCUUUUCUCCGGGUUUCAGAUCCCACUGUGAAGUGAGGGGGCCCUUCUGAUUCAGGACCCGGGGAAGCCAGGGGCAUGAGCAUCGGUGCCUCUUCUCUAUUUCAAGGACCCUUCUGGGUGUAAAGUUCUCUGAGAUGCCUUACAUGGAUUCCCACCACUGCAAGAUAACCAUCGUAUGUAAAGUGUUAUGACCAGCAGAGCGUAAUUGAAGUGCAUUCCAGAGGGAAAGACAGCGGCUCAGCUUUUUAUGCUCUCUUCAUGCCCCCUCAUGGAAGCUUCGCACACACUCUUGGUUCUGUCGCAUGGUUCCCUUUUGACAUCGGUGGCAUCAGAGGUCCACGGAGGAGCCACAGGACUGCCUGUCGGUCUAGCAUUACCUUGUGCGGCUUACCUUGUCUGUUUUGGCUCCCAAGGCUCCAGAGGGCAGGGCCCAGGGCUCAACCCUCACAUGUCUCAAGAGCUCAGUACACGGCGGAGAUUCCCGGGAAAUGCUGCAGUGAACUGGAUUGUGAGGCAAUGCACAGAACACAGCACUGCGUGGCACCUAGCAGUUAUGACGUUUAUCAUCCCGGGUUUCUACCAGUGCCAGGAGAGUCCUGGGAAAUGAGAGUCCACUGAGAGGUCAUGGGAUGGAAGGAACUCACAGACUUGGGGCACAGAUGGCUUCUCUGUGCCUGUGUCACCCCCGCCUGCAGAUCCCAUGUCCAUCCUGGUGCCCGAGAGUCCCCAUCCUGCAUGCAUGGCUUUGAACCUGCUCUGGGCUAGGAAUGUCAGGCAGUGCGUCUGAGCUUCAGCCUCUCCAUCCAUAAAACAGGAAUAACAUUACUGCCUAUCAGGAUUUCAUGAGGAUUAAAUAAGGCUGAAUGAGAAAGAGGCAUAUAAACUUGAUUUUUACAUGCCUUGGAAUAUAAAUGCUUCUUAAAAAUUUCAGUGAUGCCUUUUACAAUUCUGAAAAGUUAGUAUAAAAAGUUUGCCUGCCCUGCCUUUCUCCUGAGACUGCAUGUGAAAAUCAAAUACAA
ensembl:lncRNA EPIC1 epigenetically induced MYC interacting lncRNA 1